rnacentral:lncRNA from 1 species
AUGUGGGCUGGGCAGGAGGUGAGAGGAACCUUGGAAUUCCACCCAGCAAUUACAAAUAACCAACCAAAACCUUUCGAUAAUGCUUCAACUUGAGGGAUAGGAAGAUACAGCUAUGCAGAGAUCUGGGAUGAUGCUUGAAUCAAGCAGUGAGCCAAAAGGAGCCAUCCAAAGCUAAAGCCAACACUGGUCACCUUGUGGAAUGGGGCUUGAUGAAGUGAGCAGAAGUGAGGAGAGAUCUGGAAGGGUGAAAAGAAGUGAAAUGAAACUCACACGUAAAAGAAAAUGAACAUUUAAAAGAAA